CGCGGCCUAUCAGCUUGUUGGUGGGGUGAUGGCCUACCAAGGCGACGACGGGUAGCCGGCCUGAGAGGGUGUCCGGCCACACUGGGGCUGAGAUACGGCCCAGACUCCUACGGGAGGCAGCAGUGGGGAAUAUUGCACAAUGGGCGCAAGCCUGAUGCAGCGACGCCGCGUGGAGGAUGAAGGUCUUCGGA
rnacentral:rRNA from 1 species